rnacentral:sRNA from 1 species
GCUGGGCAUGGUGGUGCAUGCCCGUAAUCCCAGAGGCUCAGGAGGCUGAGGCAAGAGGAUCAAGAGUUCAAAGACAGCCUCAGCAAUUUAGAGAGUCCCUAAGCAACUCAGUGAGAUCCUGUUUCUA